rnacentral:misc_RNA from 1 species
GGAGAAGCAGAUUUCGGUGGAUCCCAUAUCUUUGAGAGAAUCAUCAAGGAGAGAGGCUAGUUUCAAUUUAAUAUUGUCGCCUAUUGUCACUCCUCCAGAUGGACCACCGCCUCUACCACUCUUGAAACCACCACUUAUAAGUUGCAGUCUUCCCAACUCGGCCUGCUCGUCUCCUCGAUUCAGCUUCGCUUUGUUGAAGAAGAAAUGGAAGAAUGAAAGCCAAGCAUCACCUCGUCAAAUUGACCGUCUGGCCUAUCAACAUUCUGCAGCAUACCCUCAUCUCUCUCAGCAGGAAGUUAAUUUGAGGAGAAGCAAGUCUUGUGCAGAAGGAAGAAUUUCUGGACCAGCUGAUGAACUUGAUCUUUGGUUCAGCAAAUCGAAUGUCGAAAAAUAUGAAACCAGGCAUCAGGCAAACUUCUCCGAACCUGAGGCCAACAAAGAUGAUCACAAGGAUGGUAAGAAAGUGGAUCCUAAUGAUGAUGGAUUUAAAUGUGGUGCCCUUUGCAUGUACCUUCCAGGCUUUGGCAAGGGAAAACCAGUGAGAUCAAAGAAAGAACAAGUGGGAGCAGAGGUCGGAAACAUAAUAUCCAGGACAGUUUCUCUGGAAAAAUUUGAAUGUGGUUCAUGGGCUUCAUCAGCUAUCAUAAAUGACCAUGAAGAUGGAGACUCCAUGAAUCGUUACUUUGAUUUACCACUGGAGCUGAUCCGAACUAGUGUGAAUGAUGCAACUUCUCCAGUUGCUGCUGCAUUUGUCUUUGACAAGGAUCAUAAAGGGGUUCUCAAGAACAGUUCAACAAAAGCAACAAACAGAAAGUCCCAUGAAUCUCCACGCCAUGUUCGGUUUUCAUCUCCCACAUCUUACCCUGCCUCGCCGGCUGCUUGCAUUACGCCUCGCCUGCGCAAGGCAAGGGAGGACUUCAAUGCCUUCUUGGAAGCCCAGAGCGCAUGACUCAACAUCAACAUCAACAACAACAGCUUAGGCUUAAUCCCAAACUAGUUGGAUCUUUUUUCGGCACUCAGUUUUAAUAAACCCCAAAAUGCAUGACUCGUUCUCACUUUUUUUUAUUAUUGCUGGUAUCAUGUACUUCGUUUCUUGCUACUGUGCACACAAGCAUACAACACUUGAAUAUCCUGCCUAAAUGUUCAAG